GGGUUGUGAGGUUAAGCGACUAAGCGUACACGGUGGAUGCCCUGGCAGUCAGAGGCGAUGAAGGACGUGCUAAUCUGCGAUAAGCGUCGGUGAGGUGAUAUGAACCGUUAUAACCGGCGAUUUCCGAAUGGGGAAACCCAGUGUGUUUCGACACACUAUCAUUAACUGAAUCCAUAGGUUAAUGAGGCGAACCGGGGGAACUGAAACAUCUAAGUACCCCGAGGAAAAGAAAUCAACCGAGAUUCCCCCAGUAGCGGCGAGCGAACGGGGAGGAGCCCAGAGCCUGAAUCAGUGUGUGUGUUAGUGGAAGCGUCUGGAAAGGCGUGCGAUACAGGGUGACAGCCCCGUACACAAAAAUGCACAUAUUGUGAGCUCGAUGAGUAGGGCGGGACACGUGGUAUCCUGUCUGAAUAUGGGGGGACCAUCCUCCAAGGCUAAAUACUCCUGACUGACCGAUAGUGAACCAGUACCGUGAGGGAAAGGCGAAAAGAACCCCGGCGAGGGGAGUGAAAAAGAACCUGAAACCGUGUACGUACAAGCAGUGGGAGCCUCUUAAUGGGGUGACUGCGUACCUUUUGUAUAAUGGGUCAGCGACUUAUAUUCUGUAGCAAGGUUAACCGAAUAGGGGAGCCGAAGGGAAACCGAGUCUUAACUGGGCGUUAAGUUGCAGGGUAUAGACCCGAAACCCGGUGAUCUAGCCAUGGGCAGGUUGAAGGUUGGGUAACACUAACUGGAGGACCGAACCGACUAAUGUUGAAAAAUUAGCGGAUGACUUGUGGCUGGGGGUGAAAGGCCAAUCAAACCGGGAGAUAGCUGGUUCUCCCCGAAAGCUAUUUAGGUAGCGCCUCGUGAAUUCAUCUCCGGGGGUAGAGCACUGUUUCGGCAAGGGGGUCAUCCCGACUUACCAACCCGAUGCAAACUGCGAAUACCGGAGAAUGUUAUCACGGGAGACACACGGCGGGUGCUAACGUCCGUCGUGAAGAGGGAAACAACCCAGACCGCCAGCUAAGGUCCCAAAGUCAUGGUUAAGUGGGAAACGAUGUGGGAAGGCCCAGACAGCCAGGAUGUUGGCUUAGAAGCAGCCAUCAUUUAAAGAAAGCGUAAUAGCUCACUGGUCGAGUCGGCCUGCGCGGAAGAUGUAACGGGGCUAAACCAUGCACCGAAGCUGCGGCAGCGACACUAUGUGUUGUUGGGUAGGGGAGCGUUCUGUAAGCCUGUGAAGGUGGCCUGUGAGGGUUGCUGGAGGUAUCAGAAGUGCGAAUGCUGACAUAAGUAACGAUAAAGCGGGUGAAAAGCCCGCUCGCCGGAAGACCAAGGGUUCCUGUCCAACGUUAAUCGGGGCAGGGUGAGUCGACCCCUAAGGCGAGGCCGAAAGGCGUAGUCGAUGGGAAACAGGUUAAUAUUCCUGUACUUGGUGUUACUGCGAAGGGGGGACGGAGAAGGCUAUGUUGGCCGGGCGACGGUUGUCCCGGUUUAAGCGUGUAGGCUGGUUUUCCAGGCAAAUCCGGAAAACCAAGGCUGAGGCGUGAUGACGAGGCACUACGGUGCUGAAGCGACAAAUGCCCUGCUUCCAGGAAAAGCCUCUAAGCAUCAGGUAACAUCAAAUCGUACCCCAAACCGACACAGGUGGUCAGGUAGAGAAUACCAAGGCGCUUGAGAGAACUCGGGUGAAGGAACUAGGCAAAAUGGUGCCGUAACUUCGGGAGAAGGCACGCUGAUAUGUAGGUGAAGCGACUUGCUCGUGGAGCUGAAAUCAGUCGAAGAUACCAGCUGGCUGCAACUGUUUAUUAAAAACACAGCACUGUGCAAACACGAAAGUGGACGUAUACGGUGUGACGCCUGCCCGGUGCCGGAAGGUUAAUUGAUGGGGUUAGCGGCAACGCGAAGCUCUUGAUCGAAGCCCCGGUAAACGGCGGCCGUAACUAUAACGGUCCUAAGGUAGCGAAAUUCCUUGUCGGGUAAGUUCCGACCUGCACGAAUGGCGUAAUGAUGGCCAGGCUGUCUCCACCCGAGACUCAGUGAAAUUGAACUCGCUGUGAAGAUGCAGUGUACCCGCGGCAAGACGGAAAGACCCCGUGAACCUUUACUAUAGCUUGACACUGAACAUUGAGCCUUGAUGUGUAGGAUAGGUGGGAGGCUUUGAAGUGUGGACGCCAGUCUGCAUGGAGCCGACCUUGAAAUACCACCCUU
rnacentral:rRNA from 1 species